GUUAACAUAGUUUAAUAAAAACAUUGGGUUGUGGACCCAAAAAUAGAAGCUUACCUCUUCUUGUUGACC
rnacentral:tRNA from 1 species